rnacentral:rRNA from 1 species
AUGAAAAGUUUGGCGCUCCGAGCGCCUCCUGUUGUUGAGGGAAAAAGAAAAACUCGAGAGAGAGAGACCGCUGUCCUCUGUGGUGUUCAUCCUUACCUACUCCUCUCCCCUCCUGAGAUUCAGUUCUACAUAGAUCGGGCAAGUAACCCACGUGGACCUAACCGUCGGCCGCUUGCUCCGCUGCCCUCUCGUCUCUCCCUCCCGAAUCUCUGGCGGCGCCGCACCGCAGGCGCUGGUGGAAGGACCGGCCAAAGGCGGCGGGUUGGACGGGGGCUAGGGGAACCAGGAGCACCUCAGCGGGCGCGGGGGCGGAAGGCGGCGAGCGGGGAGGCGGCGAACCACAGCGGUGGCGGAAGGAGGCGAUCGGGGACGUGGGGGCAGGCAGGAAACAGCAGCAGCGGCUGGUCGGGAAGAGCAGCGGUGAUCACAGAUCGUGAACGCGCAACUGCAAUGGCUCCGAUUUGUGGGAGCCAAGAGUUCUUGGAUGAUCUGACAAUCAAAGUCUCUCGCUCAGUUGUACUUGUUCUGUCAUUCGAACCCCGUGGGACUUGCCAUCAAUUUAUGGAUAUGCCACCGAUGGAAGGAGAAGAGCGAGAUCGUUAUAUUCAACAAAACAUGCGAACUACCCAUUAUAAAUCUUGCACUGGUUUUAUCAUUGGAGUUAGUAAAAGAGUUAUCUUUAUAGCUGUCCAUCAUUCGCAAAUCAACACAGCUGCUUUUGAUACUUUCAGUGUUCGUUUCCAUGAUAAUAAUGAGAAGGCUGCUAAAAUCUUUAUCAAAAAAACAAAGUCAGUCACGAUAUUGUCAGUAGAACAGCCUGAUCACCCUUAUCAUCCAGUGCUCCGCAGUAGAAAGAGGAUUGGCAGGGACGAUGUCCUCAUUCUAUCAAAUGUGCACUUGGGUUGCUUGAAUUCGGACCAAAGUUCUGUUAUUAACCCAAGAACUGAAGCUAUUGCCAAUCCUGCUGAUUCCGACAGCAUCGUGCCGAGAAGUGGGAAGUGGUUUACUUUUGGUUGUACAACCGAAAUUGAAGAGCUACUGGGAGCACCCGUAUUUGACUUCAGUGGUCUGUUUGUUGGUUCAGUAGACACCAAUCAUCCAAGAAUAUGGAGUGAUGAAGUUAAAUGUUAUUCUGAUCUGAUUUAUGCACGUCAUGCCUGGUAUUUUUUCAGGAAGGCAAGGAGGAAAAUAGAGAAGAAAUUGAUGAAAGAGCGAAAAAAGAAGAAGAUGGGAGGUUAG